rnacentral:rRNA from 1 species
AACGAACGCUGGCGGCAUGCCUAACACAUGCAAGUCGAACGAGACCUUCGGGUCUAUUGGCGCACGGGUUUGUAUCCCGUGGGAACCUGCCCUCAGGGUUGGCAUAACUACCCGAACGGGGUGCUAAUAGCGGAUAAUGUCUUCGGCCCAAAGAUUUAUCGCAUAUGGAUGGUCCCGCGUUGGAUAAGCUCGUUGGGAGGAUAAAAGCCUACCAAGGCGUAAAUCCAUAGAUGGUCUGAGAGGAUGCUCAGCCACACUGGGACUGAGACACGGCCCAGACUCCUACGGGAGGCGGCAGUGGGGAAUAAUGGACCGUGGGCGGAAGCCUGAUCCAGCUCUGCCGCGUAAGUGAUGGAGGCCUUAGGGUUGUAAAGCUCUUUUACCCGGGAAGAUAAUGACAGUACCGGGAGAAUAAGCCCCGGCUAACUCCGUG